CCCACUCCCUUCUCCUGGGCACAGGUCAUUCUGGGGUCAUGCCCCACUCCCUUCUCCUGGGCACAGGUCAUUCUGGGGUCAUGCCCCUCUCCCUUCUCCUGGGCACAGGUCAUUCUGGGGUCACACCUGGCCACAUUUUAGGGGUGAAAUCUAUUUAGUGAGUAGAGGGCGUCAGUACAUUGGGGGUUGAUAUCAUUUUGCUGGCUUAGCUUAAUCAUUGCGUAAUCAUGUUAGAAAACAUCUUUGAAUUUGCAAUGCGUGAAUUGUUUGAAUGCCUGUAAGUGGCUCCUUUGUGAACUCAGAUACAGUAAAUCCUUGUAGUAAAUUCUAAAAGAGAAAUAACAUUAUUAACUAUCACUCCGUUAAUAUCUAGCCACGACUGAAACAGGGGUGGUGAAUAAAUAACUGGAGUUAGAUUGGUCAAGAGAUAGUUUCAACCAUCCAAGCAGUCUCACCUGGGCACCGGAUAAGACAGUCAUACAUUGAACCUUUGGCCGUUAGUCUGGUCUCCACACCUGGGGCGUUAGUCUGGUCUCCGCACCUGGGCCGUUAGUCUGGUCUCCACACCUGGGCCAACAGCGGCUCCCUCCACAAUAUAUACAGGCCGAGAGCAAGUGACUUUUAGUGACAAUUUUUUAAUAUAUAAAUUACUAUAUUACUGUUGGUCAGCAAGUCUUGUCUGAGGCAUGGGAAGAUAUUUGAAUGGGUUACUCACAGUAGACAACAGAUCUGUGUAGUUUAGGUAGACUACAUGAAAGUACAUCAAUGAUACCUACAGUAGGAUGCAAGUUAGAUGAUCAGUUUAUACUGGAAAAAGGUGCCCCUUUGCUGAUGUUGUUUAUUUGAUGCUCUAUUUUUGUAUGCUAAAGACACCUAUUCUCACACAAAUACUGCCAUUAUGCCAUUAAGCAUGAGCUCUGUAUUUCUAUGUGUAUUUGCCAGGCAGCUCCCCCAUGCCCUAUAUUUUGUCUUCAUUUAAAGUCUGUGCUAUCAUAGUUAAAAUAUGCAUAGGUGGAACACACAUUAUGUCAGAGCUCCAAUGCAGGAAUCAUGUAAAGACCUUUAGGUAUUGAUACAGAAGCGUCACAAUCAUCCAUGGUAUCUCCUUCCUCUGUUUUGAAGUGUAUUACUGUUUUUUUUUAAAAUAUAUUUUACUCAGGCAUCUGAUGUGGUUUGUCGUUUUUUCACUAUUCUCUUCAGGGAGAUAUGAAGUGUAUUAGAUUGAAAGGAUACAUUUGAGAAUAGAAAUGAUUGGCAGAUUUGCAAUUGUCUGUUAUGUUAAUAAAGCUUUUUUUUCAGUACAUCUA